rnacentral:rRNA from 1 species
AUUGAACGCUGGCGGAAUGCUUUACACAUGCAAGUCGAACGGCAGCACGGGGGCAACCCUGGUGGCGAGUGGCGAACGGGUGAGUAAUACAUCGGAACGUGCCCGGUCGUGGGGGAUAACGUAGCGAAAGUUACGCUAAUACCGCAUACGAUCUGAGGAUGAAAGCGGGGGACCUUCGGGCCUCGCGCGAUCGGAGCGGCCGAUGUCAGAUUAGGUAGUUGGUGGGGUAAAGGCCUACCAAGCCGACGAUCUGUAGCUGGUCUGAGAGGACGACCAGCCACACUGGGACGGAGAAACGGCCCAGACUCCUACGGGAGGCAGCAGUGGGGAAUUUUGGACAAUGGGCGCAAGCCUGAUCCAGCCAUUCCGCGUGCAGGACGAAGGCCUUCGGGUUGUAAACUGCUUUUGUAUGGAACGAAAAGGCUCUGGCUAAUACCUGGGGCUCAUGACGGUACCGUAAGAAUAAGCACCGGCUAACUACGUG